GAGGGUAUAGCUCAGCGGUAGAGUGCAUGUCUAACAUGCGUAAGGUCCCAGGUUCAAUCCUUAGUACCUCCA
rnacentral:tRNA from 1 species